rnacentral:rRNA from 1 species
AUUGAACGCUAGCGGCAGGCCUAACACAUGCAAGUCGAGCGAGCGGCGGACGGGUGAGUAAUGUCUGGGGACUGCCCGAUAGAGGGGGAUAACUACUGGAAACGGUAGCUAAUACCGCAUCCCCUCAGAUUACCCAUAUGGGAUUAGCUAGUAGGUGAGGUAAUGGCUCACCUAGGCGACGCUCCCUAGCUGGUCUGAGAGGAUGAUCAGCCACAAGGGGAAUGAGACAGGGCCCAGACUCCUACGGAGGCAGCAGUGGGGAAUAUUGCACAAUGGGCGCAAGCCUGAUGCAGCCAUGCCGCGUGUAUGAAGAAGGACGUAGGGCUGUAAAGUACUUUCAGUGGGGAGGCGUUACCGGCAGAAGAAGCACCGGCUAACUCCGUGCCAGCAGCCGCGGUAAUAC